GCCAAUGUGGCAUGAUGGUUUGAGUGUUGGACUACAACUUUAGAGACCAGGGUUCAAUUCCCAGCUCCGCCA